AUUGAACGCUGGCGGCAGGCUUAACACAUGCAAGUCGAGCGGAGUGAUGGUGCUUGCACUAUCACUUAGCGGCGGACGGGUGAGUAAUGCUUAGGAAUCUGCCUAUUAGUGGGGGACAACAUCUCGAAAGGGAUGCUAAUACCGCAUACGUCCUACGGGAGAAAGCAGGGGAUCACUUGUGACCUUGCGCUGAUAGAUGAGCCUAAGUCGGGUUAGCUAGUUGGUGGGGUAAAGGCCUACCAAGGCGACGAUCUGUAGCGGGUCUGAGAGGAUGAUCCGCCAAACUGGGACUGAGACACGGCCCAGACUCCCACGGGAGGCAGCAGUGGGGAAUAUUGGACAAUGGGGGGAACCCUGAUCCAGCCAUGCCGCGUGUGUGAAGAAGGCCUUAUGGUUGUAAAGCACUUUAAGCGAGGAGGAGGCUCUUUUGGUUAAUACCCAAGAUGAGUGGACGUUACUCGCAGAAUAAGCACCGGCUAACUCUGUGCCAGCCGCCGCAGUAA
rnacentral:rRNA from 1 species